rnacentral:ncRNA from 1 species
AUAAAAUAAUUAUGUUUUUAUUAAUUUAUUAUAAAUUUAUUUUACAUAUAAAUUUUAGUAUAUAAUUUUAAUUAUUUUAAAAAUAAUUAAUUAUAAUAGUAGUAAUUAAUAUUAAAAAUUUAAGAAAUUAAGAUUUAGUAAUAUGAAAAUUAAUAACCAAUUUUGUGCCAGCAGUUGCGGUUAAACAAAAAUUGAAUUAAAUUAUUUCAGUUUAUAAUUAAUAAGUAAAUAAUUAAAAUAAAUAUUAAAUUAUUAGGUGAAAUUUUAAUUUAAUUAAAUUUUAUUUAUAAGUUUAUGAUUUAAUAAAUUUUAAUAUAAACUAGGAUUAGAUACCCUAUUAUUAAAAAUUUAAUUUAUAAUACUAAAAUAGUAAAUAAUAAUUUAUUGAAACUUAAAUAAUAUGGCGGUAUUUUAGUUCAUUUAGAGGAAUCUGUCUAAUAAUUGAUAAUCCACGAAUAAAUUUACUUAAUUUAUAAUUUUGUAUAUCAUUGUUAAAAAAAUAUUUUUUAAUGAGAAUAAUAUUUAAAAAUUUUAAUAUAAAAUUAAUUCAGAUCAAGAUGCAGAGCAUAAUUAAGAAUAUGAUGGAUUACAAUAAAUAUAUUUAAAUGAAUAAUUUUUUUGUAAAUAAAUUUGAAGGUGGAUUUAAAUGUAAUUUUAAUUAAUUUAUUAAAAUGAUUAAAAAUUAAGGUAUGUACAUAUUGCCCGUCACUUUCAUUUAAAAAUUGAAAUAAGUCGUAACAAAGUAGAGGUACUGGAAAGUGUUUCUAGAAAGA